rnacentral:rRNA from 1 species
AUGAAACCCGAUCCUGCUUUUGCUACUUCACCUAUUUGUGUUACUGAUAAGGAUUAUGAAUUCUCUGUUGAUCCUGAAAUUAUUACUUUAGUUGAAUCUGAUCCUUUUUAUGGCCUUGAAUCUGAAACUGUUGUGGCACAUCUUACCAAGUUGAAUGAUAUAGCUACCCUGUUUACUAAUGAUGAGAAAUCUCGCUAUUAUUAUAUCCUUAAGAUAUUUCCAUUCUCAUUAAAGGGUGAUGCUAAGACUUGGUAUAAUUCUCUUACUCCUGGUUGUGUGCGUAGUCCCCAGGAUAUGAUUUAUUACUUCUCUGCUAAAUAUUUCCCUGCUCAUAAGAAACAAGCUGCCUUGCGGGAAAUAUAUAAUUUUGUGCAAAUCAAAGAAGAGAGUCUCCCACAAGCUUGGGGGAGGCUUCUCCGGUUACUUAAUGCUUUGCCUGAUCAUCCUCUCAAGAAAAAUGAAAUACUUGAUAUCUUUUAUAAUGGACUAAGCGAUGCUUCCAAGGACUACUUGGAUAGUUGUGCUGGUUGUGUUUUCAGGGAAAGAAUAGUCGACGAAGCUGAAAUAUUAUUGAAUAAUAUGUUGACUAAUGAAAAUAAUUGGACUCCCCCUGAGCCAAUUCCUGAACCAAUUGAGCCAACUCCUGAGCCUAUUCCUAAACCCACUCUGAAGAAGAGAGGUGUUUUAUUUCUCAGUCCUGAAUAUAUGCAAGAGGCAAAGAAAUCAAUGAAAGAAAAAGGUAUUAAAGCUGAAGAUGUUAAGAAUUUACCUCCUAUUGAAGAAAUACAUGGUCUUAAUAUACCGCCUGAAGAACCACAUUGUCUUGAUAACCCGACACAGGUAGUAAAGGUAAAUUCUCUCUAUAGAUAUGAUAAAGUUGAAAUCCCCUCUACUAAAUUUCAUAGCCCAUGCUUAGAUGAAUUUGAUGACUUUAUGGCUAGACAAGAAAGUUUUAAUGCUUAUGUUGGUAGAGAGUUAAAGAAUAAUGCUUUCGAGAUAGGACGUGUAAGUGAUAAUCUGGCUAGAGUUAAAGAUGAACUUCACCUCGUUAGCAAAUAUGCUUCUAUGGUUGCUACUCAAGCUGAGAAAGUACUCAAAGCUCAAAAUGAUUUGCUUGAUAAAUUAAAUAAUAAGAAUGACUUUGCUGUUAGAGUGGCUACUAGAACUGGUAGAAUGACUCAGGAACCUUUGUAUCCUGAAGGCCACCCUAAGAGAAUCGAGCAAGAUUCUCAGAGAAAUAAUUUAGAGGCACCUAGUUCUUCUAAAAAGAAGAAAAAGAAAAAUGAUAGAACUUUGCAUGCUUCUAGUGAACCUACGGUAGACACACCUGAGAAUCCUACUGAUAUUUCUAUUUCUGAUGCUGAAACACAAUCAGGUGAUGAACAUGAACCUAGUGAUAAUGUUAAUGAUAAUGUUCAUGUUGAUGCUCAACCUAGCCAAAACAACGAUGUAGAGAUCAAACCUGUUGUUGAUCUUGAUAACCCACAAUCAAAGAAUCAACAUUAUCAUAAGAGAGAUUUGUUGCUAGGAAGCACGGUAAAGAAAGAGAACCAUGGGUUCAGAAACCCAUGCCAUUUCCUCCUAAACCAUCCAAGUCAAAGGAUGAUGAGGAUUUUGAGCGCUUUCCUGAAAUGA